AUGAUGGAUGCCAACCAGCGCUGGGAUGUGCCUGAGGCAGUGGAGUGGAUGUCCAAGCUGGCCAAGUUCAAGCCAUUGUGGAUUGAGGAGCCAACCUCCCCUGAUGACAUUCUGGGGCACGCCACCAUUUCCAAGGGUGUGUGAGUAUGUUGACCACCUGCAUGAGCAUUUCAAGUAUCCUGUGAUGAUCCAGCGGGCUUCCUACAUGCCUCCCAAGGAUCCCGGCUACUCAACAGAAAUGAAGGAGGAAUCUGUAAAGAAACACCAGUAUCCAGAUGGUGAAGUUUGGAAGAAACUCCUUCCUGCUCAAGAAAAUUAAUUAAGUGCUCAGCCCCAACAACUUUUUUCUUUCUGAAGUGAAAAGGCUUAAAAUUUCUUGGAAAUAGUUUUACAAAAAUGGAUUAAAAAAAUCCUACCGAUCAAGAUUAGUUCAGCUAAAAGUCAUAC
rnacentral:sRNA from 1 species